rnacentral:rRNA from 1 species
AGUCCACGCCGUAAACGUUGGGCGCUAGAUGUGGGCCACAUUCCACGUGGUCCGUGUCGCAGCUAACGCACUAAGCGCCCCGCCUGGGGAGUACGCCCGCAAGGCUAAAACUCAAAGGAAUUGACGGGGGCCCGCACAAGCGGCGGAGCAUGCGGAUUAAUUCGAUGCAACGCGAAGAACCUUACCAAGGCUUGACAUAUAGAGGAAACGUGCAGAAAUGUACGCCCCAGCAAUGGUCUCUAUACAGGUGGUGCAUGGUUGUCGUCAGCUCGUGUCGUGAGAUGUUGGGUUAAGUCCCGCAACGAGCGCAACCCUCAUUCUGUGUUGCCAGCAUUAAGUUGGGGACUCACAGGAGACUGCCGUGGUUAACACGGAGGAAGGUGGGGAUGACGUCAAAUCAUCAUGCCCCUUAUGUCUUGGGCUGCACGCAUGCUACAAUGGCUGGUACAAACGGCUGCAAUACCGCAAGGUUGAGCGAAUCCGAAAAAGCCAGUCUCAGUUCGGAUUGGGGUCUGCAACUCGACCCCAUGGAGUCGGAGUUGCUAGUAAUCGUAGAUCAGCAACGCUACGGUGAAUACGUUCCCGGGGCUUGUACACACCGCCCGUCACGUCACGAAAGUCGGUAACACCC